GGGUGGGAGGGCUGGGACGCACCUAAAGGUUUGUAGCCUGAGCAGGAGUUAAUUAGGGACGAGUCCUGGGAGCCGGAGGAACCCCAUGGAGCGUUCAGGGAACUAUAUCUGGUUUGGUCUGGCUGGUACACGAAGCAUGGAGGCGGGGGUGAGGGUUAGGAAGGAGAUGAGGCCGAGUUGGCUUCAGAGACGUGGCCUAUCCUAGGGCCAUGGUGGGUGGAGAGGAGCGAUGGGUGUAACAGCUAUCCUCAGUGGUGGAAUUGAGGGGACUCAAUGCUGAUUGAAUGUUGGGGGAGAAUUGUGCUAGGAUGAGGUCAGAGUUGGGUGGAUGGCGGUGUCAUUUUUUGAGAUGGGGAUUGUAGGAAAUGGGUGGUCAAUGAUAAGUGUAGUUUUAGCCAGGAAUUGGGGGUUGGCGGUAGGCAGCGGAUAGAAUAGAUAGGAUGGAUGAGAUUUUCUGGUGAAGGGUAAGUGAGGAAAGAGCUGUGUGUGAAACCCUGCGGGCACAGGAGGGAGAGUGAGGAGGGGGCAGAGGUGGACGAAGUGCCUAAAGCUUUCUAGACUUUCCUCACACGCUCUCAGACCACUGAGCUGUGAAGGAAGGUGGGGAACAGCCCAGUACUCAGCAAUAGGCUUCAGGAUCCCUCACCCCAGGCCAGGUUUUCCCCAUCUUUUCUCAGUCUCUGCACUCUGUGGUAGAUUACUUCACACGAAGAGUCAGUAUUUACCACACAAAGGAAAGGAGGAGGCAGCCCCUUGAGAGGGCCUGGGCUGAAAGUCGCAGCCUGUAAGUGACAGCCUGUGACAGCACGUGAUAGGAAAGAGCCCAAGAACCCACCCAGAUACAGGCUUGUGACCUUAGGCAGCUGCUUAACUCUCAGAGCCCCAGUUGCUCAUCUGUUAAAUGGAGAUAAUGCCAACCUAUUAGGGAGAUUGAGAGGCUUAAAGCACUUAGAACUGUGGAGCACAGAGUAAAUGUAGCCAUCCUUGGGAGUCCAGGGUGGGGACAGAAUGCUGUGUCUUACGUUAGAGACCCGUGGAUUGGAACUCAGCCACACUCAUCAGGCCUCAGCAUCCCAAGGGGAGAGUGAGACGUCCUUGGCAUCAUCUUUCCUAGCUUAGUCUUCUGAAUAACAUGGCAGAGACUGCAUCUUCUAACACUAGGCAACUGGAUCGAGGUUAUGAGACUGUAGGUGUGACACAGCUCAUGAGCCUGUUAAGAGUUCUGGGGGGCUUGGAAAUGGCUCUGGUUAAACAUUAGAAUCACUUUGCAAAAAGUUCAUAAAACUACCAAUUCCAGGGUCCCACCUUAGACCAGUUGAAUCAGAAUCUCUAGCAGUGAUGCUGAGGCAUAGGUGGUUUUUAAAUGUGUUUCAGGUGACUCGGAUAAGUCACCAACCAGAGUUGAGAACCAGUGUCCUAACGCUUGCCCUAACAUUCCAAAGGUGACUUCGUUUCUCUCCUAGAUGGGCCUCCUUGAAGGAUUUAGGGUCAAACAUGCCCUUUCCAGAGCUCCCGGCUGUUGUACUUGUCUUUCCUAGUUGCUUGAAGAGGCUUUUAGAGGUGGAUUCAGCUAUUUCUAAGGCAACAUGAAAAACUCUGAAACCAAGGCAACAGCUAUACAAGAAUUAAUGACUGGAGACCAGAUCUUUUUCAGGAUGAAUAAAUAAUGGAAGCCCUCAAGACCCCCAACCUUGCCAUCCCUUUCCAAACUGCUCUCUGCCGGAGGAACCCAGCUUCUAGCCACCCCGCCCCCCCCCCCCGCCCCAUUCCUCCAUCCUGAGGCAGAUUGCCCAGGAUCAAGGCUGGAGGUAGAUGAUGAGCAAUGCUCUCUGCCUCAAGAGCUACUCCAGGUUCAUAAUGGUACUCAAAACCAAAAAUAACUCAGUAGUCAGCCUCAGAGGAUGCUAGGGAAUGGAUUCAUUUUUAAAAAAAUACUGAGGAAAAGAAUCAAACAUUUAUCCUGCCUUUUUUUAUGGGCUCUACCUCAGGGCUACCAAAUAGUUGAUGAGGGAAAGUUUCUCUCUAUAGAGAAUUCCAGUUAAUCAAAGAAGAAAGAUGGAGCCAAUCAAAAUUUUACUAUUUUUUAAACUUUACAGAAUUAAUAGAUCCUAAGGAAUGAUCAUCAAUGGCUGCUAACAUCACUAAAAGAAAACCAGAUUUUAUGCCUCAUGAUGGGAGAACAUACCAUCUUCUAUGAAAUAUUUUUGCCAAAAAUUGAAUUUGAAUCUGGAUCUAACUACCAUUUUAUAAGAAAUACAAAACAACAUUUUUUAAAUAUCAGGAAGAAGCUAGAAUGAUCCAUGUGGUAGUGGAUUAGAGUUGGAGACAUCAGCAUGAAUUUGUGUUUAGCUUAAUUUAGGAAUAGGUGAUUACGUAGAGAAAUAUUUAUGGAUAUAUGUAUAUACAAGGCUUAGUGUACACUUAUAUGUCCUUGCCCUGUCAACUCAGGGCCUAAAAGCAAUGAUAGCCCAGUAGCAACAUGCACACCUAGUGCCCAGAUGUUGAUUUCUAAUACCAUUUUCCAAUACAAGGAACCAAGACUCCUUGGAGAAAUGGCUGAUUCAAGCACUGGGGCAGGAAAUAUACACGAUGGAUACGUGAUGAGCCUGGAGCAUCUUAUGAUGCCAGAAAGGCAAAAAGAGAUGGAGGCAGAAUCUCCACAUGGAAGGAGCUUGGGGAGACAGAUCAUUUGAAGCUGGUGAGCUUUAUUUGGAUCCUGACUUGAAUAAACAAAGAGGUCCAGCAUCAAAAAUACCCACUGCCAACUUGUCUGGACCCCAUGAGGUGGAUCCGUUUCACCAUAAGGACAGAACUUAUCAGAUGCCUCCAGCUUCCUGCCUGGACCUCUUCACCUGAAUGCCCCACAAGCCCUCAGACCCAACACCCCCAGGAAUGAACUCAGUAUUUCUCCCACCCCAUCUGCAUCUCCUGGAUCUCCGGCUCUGUGAAUGGCCCACCGCCUGCCCAGUCACCAUGCUGGAAAUCCAGGAGUCUUCCCAGACAACUCCUUCACCCCAACCCAGUCAGUCCUCCCUUCUCUCGGUUCCCUCUCAUCAUCUCCACUCUCAGUGCCCUGACUUCAUCAGGUGAAGGUCAGACCUUCGUCUUUUCUCACCUGGACUCCACCUCCUAACUGCCUCCCUGUCUCACCCUCUUCAAACCUGCCCUCCCCACAGUUGCAUGAUACGGCUAAAAGUCAUGCCCUGUCGAUCCCUUUUCAGGGGCUGCCCCUGCUGCAGGGUACAGCAGGGCAAACUCAGCAACUCAGAUCGGAGCUUUGACUUCUGCAUUAGUGAUCUGUUGCCAAAACAUAUUGUAAAAUGUAGUGACUUAACACAGCAGUAAACACUUAUUAUUUCUCAGUGUCUGUGGGUCAGGAAAUAAGGAAUGGCUGCUGAGUGGUUCUGGCUCAAAGUUUCUCAGGACGUUUUAGUCCAUAUGUCAGCAAGGGCUGCAGUCAAAUGAAGGCUUGACUAGGGCUGGAGAAUUUGCUUCCCAUGUGGCUCGCUGACGUGGCUGGAAGUUGGUGCUGGCUGUGGGCAAAAGCCUGUGUCACACCACACAGAUCUUUCCACGUGGUUGCUUGAGUGUCCUCAAAACAUGGUGGCUGGCUCUCUUCAGAGUGAGGGAUCCAAGAGAAAGCAAGACGGAAUCCAUGUCUUUUUGACCUGGUCUCAGCAGUCAGACACCACCACCUCUACAGUACUCUAUUGGUCACACAGGCCACCCUGAUGCAAUGUGAGAGGGAACUACACAGAGCAGGAAUACCAGAGGUGAGGAUCACUGGGAGCCAUCUUGGAGGCUGGCCACCACACCUUCCUCUCAUACCUG